rnacentral:misc_RNA from 1 species
UAGAAUAAUCAUCUUCAGUUUUGAAAGACUUUAGAAUAAAAAUCAUAAGUUUUUCUUUUUUAAAAGAAAAGGGCCUAUAGCUCAGUUGGUUAGAGCACACGCCUGAUAAGCGUGAGGUCGGUGGUUCAAGUCCAUUUAGGCCCACCAACUUAGUAAAAAACCCAUUCUUUUAAAAAAAGUUCUUUGAAAAGUAGAUAAACAUGGACAAGAAAAUAAAU